rnacentral:rRNA from 1 species
UUGAACGCUGGCGGCAUGCUUUACACAUGCAAGUCGAACGGCAGCGGGGGCUUCGGCCCGCCGGCGAGUGGCGAACGGGUGAGUAAUGCAUCGGAACGUACCCAGUCGUGGGGGAUAACUACGCGAAAGCGUAGCUAAUACCGCAUACGCCCUGAGGGGGAAAGCGGGGGACCUUCGGGCCUCGCGCGAUUGGAGCGGCUGAUGUCGGAUUAGCUAGUUGGUGGGGUAAAGGCCUACCAAGGCGAUGAUCGGUAGCUGGUCUGAGAGGAUGAUCAGCCACACUGGGACUGAGACACGGCCCAGACUCCUACGGGAGGCAGCAGUGGGGAAUUUUGGACAAUGGGGGCAACCCUGAUCCAGCCAUUCCGCGUGAGUGAAGAAGGCCUUCGGGUUGUAAAGCUCUUUUGUCCGGAGCGAAACGGUUACGGUGAAUAUCCGUGACUACUGACGGUACCGGAAGAAUAAGCACCGGCUAACUACGU